rnacentral:rRNA from 4 species
UAUGACUCUCGGCAAUGGAUAUCUUGGCUCUUGCAUCGAUGAAGAGCGCAGCGAAAUGCGAUAUGUGGUGCGAAUUGCAGAAUCCCGUGAACCAUUGAGUUUUUGAACGCAAGUUGCGCCUGAGGCCAGCUGGUCGAGGGCACGUCCGCUUGGGUGUCAUGC